AGGGCAAGUCUGGUGCCAGCAGCCGCGGUAAUUCCAGCUCCAAUAGCGUAUAUUAAAGUUGUUGCAGUUAAAAAGCUCGUAGUUGAAUUUCGGGAUCAAUCUAUCGGUCGUGCAAUAGUACGUACUGAUUUUAUUGAUUCCUCUCUUCUGAAGAACUAUGAUGUCAUUAAUUUGGUGUCAUAGGGAAUCAGGACUGUUACUUUGAAAAAAUUAGGGUGUUUAAAGCAGGCUCACGCUUGAAUACAUUAGCAUGGAAUAACGAAAUAGGACGUUUGAUUCUAUUUUGUUGGUUUCUAGGAUCGACGUAAUGAUUAAUAGGGAUAGUUGGGGGCAUUAGUAUUCAAUUGUCAGAGGUGAAAUUCUUGGAUUUAUUGAAGACUAACUACUGCGAAAGCAUUUGCCAAGGAUGUUUUCAUUAAUCAAGAACGAAAGUUAGGGGAUCGAAGACGAUCAGAUACCGUCGUAGUCUUAACCAUAAACUAUGCCGACUAGGGAUCGGAUGAUGUUAAUUUUUUAAUGACUCAUUCGGCGCCUUACGGGAA
rnacentral:rRNA from 1 species